rnacentral:rRNA from 1 species
UACGUAGGCGGAAAAUUAAGUCAGUAGUGAAAUCCUGCAGCUUAACUGUAGAACUGUUAUUGAUACUGGUUUUCUUGAAUAUAGUUGAGGUAGGCGGAAUGUGUAAUGUAGCGGUGAAAUGCUUAGAUAUUACACAGAACACCGAUUGCGAAGGCAGCUUACUAAGCUAUGAUUGACGCUGAGGUACGAGAGCGUGGGGAGCGAACAGGAUUAGAUACCCUGGUAGUCC